UUAAAUGCAUAGAUAGGGAAGAGUAUCUUGGAUCGUUACUUUCAGAGAGGAAAAUCAAUGGUGGGAGAUUUUCUAAGUGACCCUAAGAGAAGUCACCCUUGAGCAGCUUUCAUGAAAGUAAAGUAGUGAAAGUCGGCUAUAAAGUCGUUAUCUUGUUGAAGUGCCGAUCCUGCUAUGAAUGAUGGGAUCGUGUAAAAAGGUGGUACCGCGAAUCUGCUCCCUUCGUCCUUUUG
rnacentral:ncRNA from 1 species